GCCAGACUCCUACGGGAGGCAGCAGUGAGGAAUAUUGGUCAAUGGCCGAGAGGCUGAACCAGCCAAGUCGCGUGAGGGAUGACGGCCCUACGGGUUGUAAACCUCUUUUGUCAGGGAGCAACGCCGGCUGCGUGUAGCCGGACUGAGAGUACCUGAAGAAAAAGCAUCGGCUAACUCCGUGCCAGCAGCCGCGGUAAUACGGAGGAUGCGAGCGUUAUCCGGAUUUAUUGGGUUUAAAGGGUGCGCAGGCGGAGGUGCAAGUCAGCGGUCAAAUUGCGGGGCUCAACCCCGUACUGCCGUUGAAACUGCAUCCCUUGAGUGCGCGAGAAGUAUGCGGAAUGCGUGGUGUAGCGGUGAAAUGCAUAGAUAUCACGCAGAACUCCGAUUGCGAAGGCAGCAUACCGGCGCGCAACUGACGCUCAUGCACGAAAGCGUGGGUAUCGAACAGGAUUAGAUACCCCUGUAUA
rnacentral:rRNA from 1 species